CCUUCGAUAGCUCAGUUGUUAGAGCAGUGGACUGUAGCGGUCCAGGUCGCUGGUUCAAAGGUCGCUGGUUCAAAUACAGCUCGAAGGU
rnacentral:tRNA from 1 species